rnacentral:rRNA from 1 species
UACGGAGGGUGCGAGCGUUGUCCGGAAUCACUGGGCGUAAAGGGCGCGUAGGCGGCCUGAUAAGUAGGGGGUGAAAUCCUGCGGCUUAACCGCAGGGCUGCCUUCUAAACUGUCAGGCUCGAGCACAGUAGAGGCAGGUGGAAUUCCCGGUGUAGCGGUGGAAUGCGUAGAUAUCAGGAAGAACACCCGUGGCGAAGGCGGCUCUCUGGGACGGUACUGACGCUGAGACGCGAAAGCGUGGGGAGCGAACAGG